UAGGGAAUCUUCGGCAAUGGACGGAAGUCUGACCGAGCAACGCCGCGUGAGUGAAGAAGGUUUUCGGAUCGUAAAGCUCUUUUGUUAGAGAAGAACGUUGGUAGGAGUGGAAAAUCUACCAAGUGACGGUAACUAACCAGAAAGGGACGGCUAACUACGUGCCAGCAGCCGCGGUAAUACGUAGGUCCCGAGCGUUGUCCGGAUUUAUUGGGCGUAAAGCGAGCGCAGGCGGUUCUUUAAGUCUGAAGUUAAAGGCAGUGGCUUAACCAUUGUACGCUUUGGAAACUGGAGGACUUGAGUGCAGAAGGGGAGAGUGGAAUUCCAUGUGUAGCGGUGAAAUGCGUAGAUAUAUGGAGGAACACCGGUGGCGAAAGCGGCUCUCUGGUCUGUACCUGACGCUGAGGCUCGAAAGCGUGGGGAGCAAAAAGG
rnacentral:rRNA from 1 species